UACGUAGGGUGCAAGCGUUGUCCGGAUUUAUUGGGUUUAAAGGGUGCGUAGGCGGCCUGAUCAGUCAGUGGUUAAAUAUUGCGGCUCAACCGUAAUCUGCCAUUGAUACUGUCAGGCUUGAGUGCAACAGAGGAAACUGGAAUGUGUGGUGUAGCGGUGAAAUGCAUAGAUAUUACAUAGAAUACCGAUUGCGAAGGCAGUCUACUAACUGUAUACUGACGCUAAUGGACGAAAGCGUGGGGAGCGAACAGG
rnacentral:rRNA from 1 species